AAUGCAGUGUGUGUGUGUGUGUGUGUGUGUAUAUAAUGCAGUGUGUUUAUAUAAUACACACUACACAAACACACUGCAUUAUAUAAACACACUACAUAAACACACUGUGUAUAUAAUGCAGUGUGUUUGUGUAGUGUUUAUAUAAUGCACACUACACAAACACACUGCAUUAUAUACACACACUA